GGCUUACACUUGAUCUCUGAACUUCAGGUAAAUUUUCCUGUUGAGAAUUCUUGCCCACUGAUGCC